rnacentral:misc_RNA from 1 species
AACGCAUAUUGCACUUUCUGGUAUUCCGGAAAGUAUGCCUGUUUGAGGGUCAGUUAAAUAAAAAUCGGUGUUGUUGCUGCCUUUCGUGGUGACGCGUCGGAAUUGGGUCGUCUUACCUUUCGGUUAAGUGACUUAAAAUUUUGCAUGAUUUUCGAACGUAUUUAAAUUUUUUUGUACGUUUGAGAUAUCGUUUGUUUUAUUAGGUUCGGUCAUUCUCAUGACUCGCGUCUAUAAUUUUUCAUUAAAUGACCUCAAAUCAGGUAAGAAUACCCGCUGAACUUAA